UACGGAGGGUGCAAGCGUUAAUCGGAAUUACUGGGCGUAAAGCGCACGCAGGCGGUUUGAUAAGUCAGAUGUGAAAUCCCCGGGCUCAACCGGGGAACUGCAUUUGAUACUGGCAGGCUUGAGUCCCGGAGAGGGGGGUGGAAUUCCCGGUGUAGCGGUGAAAUGCGUAGAGAUCUGGAGGAAUACCGGUGGCGAAGGCGACCCCCUGGACGAGGACUGACGCUCAGGUGCGAAAGCGUGGGGAGCAAACAGG
rnacentral:rRNA from 1 species